UGCGCAGGCGGUUAUGUAAGACAGAUGUGAAAUCCCCGGGCUCAACCUGGGAACUGCAUUUGUGACUGCAUGGCUAGAGUACGGUAGAGGGGGAUGGAAUUCCGCGUGUAGCAGUGAAAUGCGUAGAUAUGCGGAGGAACACCGAUGGCGAAGGCAAUCCCCUGGACCUGUACUGACGCUCAUGCACGAAGCGUGGGAGCAAACA
rnacentral:rRNA from 1 species